GCGAAAGGAACGUUAAAGACUACUGAUAGCAAACGAGUUAUUGAUGGAAGCAUGCUUGGAACCGAAUUUGUUGGUGUUUAUGUUGAUGGAAUUGAAAAAAAGGGAGAUGAGCAGUUACCUCGGCCACUCUAUAGUAUUCAUACACUAAUAGAUGCUAUUGGCUUUAUCAUUCCUUGGCCCAAAUCACAUGUGAAAAAAGCUACGAGUUCAAAUCAUACUUGAACCAACUUGGAAAGAAGUUCAAGCCAUGAGUGGAAAGGAGAAAGAAAGGGCAAAGCAAGAUAUAUUUUAGUUGUUAGAAAAUUCUAGAAAUAUUUGUAUGAUACUGCUACUUUCUAUGUUUCUUUAAGAACAAAUUUGUUUUGUCCAGUGUACUUUAAUUAAUGGAUGAGUUGGUUCCAGAAUUA